ensembl:lncRNA
UCAAAAUUGAAAAAUGUUUAACAAAAUGCCUUCAGAAAGUAGCAUGUCAGCUUUAAUGUUUGUAAAGUUUAGUAUCCACACAAAUGUCAUAUUUGAAAACAAUUUGUAAGUUGGAUUUUUGGCAAGAGCUACGGACUAUGAAGAAUGAUGGAAGAGAAAUCAUAGCCAGUAGUAAAUUAAACAAGUUACUCAUAGUCAAGUAAUUUCAAAAGCACAUUUAUAAAAACCCUUUUAAAUUUAAACAAGAGUUACACUGAAUGAAGAAUGUGGGUGCAUUUUAGGCUUUGUUACCACGAUAGUGAGACCUCCAAGACUCAGAUUCUAGUCUGCAGAGGGCUUACGAUGGCCCAGCUUUUCAGUCAUGCUUUGGGCCUGGCUGUCCCCUUUAGCCCUCCCGCCUCACUAAGUAGGCUGAGCAGAUUCCGAGCACCUACUGCUACUUCGGUGUCCUCUCUAGAUCUGUGCAGCCAUCAUGUCCGGCUGGAGUUUCUCCACUUGGCAGAUGAGAAACUGACCUAUCGCUUGGGAGAGACUGAGGCCAGACUUCCUGGAACAACUCCCUGGAAAAAUGAAGCUCUUCUCUGAGUUCCUGGGAAAACAGCAAUGGUUCGUUGGUGACAAGAUCUGGCACCAUGUGAAUUCUGGCUCUUCUUCAAAUGCAAAAUGAAAAUGAUAAGUAAACAUUUUGAAUCUGUUAAGAACAUGAAGGCAGCCAAGACAGCAGAACAAAAG